rnacentral:lncRNA from 1 species
AAAGAAUUAGAACACUCUCUCCAAUGAAACACUCACCGGCAUCUUUUUCAGCGAAUGACAACACAACUUCAAGUAAUCCUGAAGACGAUGAUACUACAAUUGUCAAUGAGAAAACAACGACUUGUACACAAAUAUACAACGGAACAGGUUUACAAGAAAAAAAUGAUUCAAGACAGUUAUUUCGUUCGUAAUCGCUCAGCUAGAACUAUCCGUUUUCUGUUACACAU